UGGGGAAUUUUGGACAAUGGGCGAAAGCCUGAUCCAGCAAUGCCGCGUGUGUGAAGAAGGCCUUCGGGUCGUAAAGCACUUUUGUCCGGAAAGAAAUCCUUGGCUCUAAUGCAGUCGGGGGAUGACGGUACCGGAAGAAUAAGCACCGGCUAACUACGUGCCAGCAGCCGCGGUAAUACGUAGGGUGCAAGCGUUAAUCGGAAUUACUGGGCGUAAAGCGUGCGCAGGCGGUUUGCUAAGACCGAUGUGAAAUCCCCGGGCUCAACCUGGGAACUGCAUUGGUGACUGGCAGGCUAGAGUAUGGCAGAGGGGGGUAGAAUUCCACGUGUAGCAGUGAAAUGCGUAGAGAUGUGGAGGAAUACCGAUGGCGAAGGCAGCCCCCUGGGCCAAUACUGACGCUCAUGCACGAAAGCGUGGGGAGCAAACAGGAUUAGAUACCCUGGUAGUCCACGCCCUAAACGAUGUCAACUAGUUGUUGGGGAUUCAUUUCCUUAGUAACGUAGCUAACGCGUGAAGUUGACCGCCUGGGGAGUACGGUCGCAAGAUUAAAACUUAAAUGAAUUGACGGGGUCAUAGCUGUUUCCU
rnacentral:rRNA from 1 species